rnacentral:rRNA from 1 species
GCCAGCAGCUAUAUCACUCUGCAACUCACAACUGGCAACCUACUGAAGCUAAGCAGGUGUGAGCCUGGUCAGUACCUGGAUGGGAGAUCUCCUGGAAAAAAACUAAGGUUUCUGCUGGAA